rnacentral:rRNA from 1 species
AGGCCACUGUUAUCGGAGUUCGAUUAAGCCAUGCGAGUCGAGAGGUGAAAGACCUCGGCAUACUGCUCAGUAACACGUGGACAAUCUAACCUACGGAGGGGGAUAACCCCGGGAAACUGGGGAUAAUACCCCAUAGACUAUGGAUGCUGGAAUGCUUUGUAGUCGAAAGGUCCGCCGCCGUAGGAUGGGUCUGCGGCCGAUUAGGUUGUUGUUGGGGUAACGGCCUAACAAGCCUGUAAUCGGUACGGGUUGUGGGAGCAAGAGCCCGGAGAUGGAUUCUGAGACACGAAUCCAGGCCCUACGGGGCGCAGCAGGCGCGAAAACUUUACAAUGCGGGAAACCGUGAUAGGGGAACUCCGAGUGCCCGUUAAAUCGGGCUGUCCACCAGUUUAAAUAACUGGUGAAGAAAGGGCCGGGCAAGACCGGUGCCAGCCGCCGCGGUAAUACCGGCGGCUCGAGUGGUGGCCACUAUUACUGGGCUUAAAGCGUUCGUAGCUGGUUUGUUAAGUCUCUGGGGAAAUCUUCCGGCUUAACCUGAAGGCGUCUCAGGGAUACUGGCAGACUAGGGACCGGGAGAGGUGAGGGGUACUCCAGGGGUAGGAGUGAAAUCCUGUAAUCCUUGGGGGACCACCUGUGGCGAAGGCGCCUCACCAGAACGGCUCCGACAGUGAGGGACGAAAGCUGGGGGAGCAAACCGGAUUAGAUACCCGGGUAGUCCCAGCUGUAAACGAUGCGCGUUAGGUGUAUCGGUGACCACGAGUCACCGAGGUGCCGAAGAGAAAUCGUGAAACGUGCCGCCUGGGAAGUACGGUCGCAAGGCUGAAACUUAA